GACGAACGCUGGCGGCGUGCUUAACACAUGCAAGUCGAGCGGAAAGGCCUCUUCGGGGGUACUCGAGCGGCGAACGGGUGAGUAACACGUGAGUAAUCUGCCCUUCACUCUGGGAUAGCCACCGGAAACGGUGAUUAAUACCGGAUACGACACGUCCAGGCAUCUGGUGCGUGUGGAAACUUUUUGGGUGGGGGAUGUGCUCGCGGCCUAUCAGCUUGUUGGUGGGGUAAUGGCCUACCAAGGCUUCGACGGGUAGCCGGCCUGAGAGGGUGGCCGGCCACACUUGGAAUGAGACACGGCCCAGACUCCUACGGGAGGCAGCAGUGGGGAAUAUUGGACAAUGGGCGGAAGCCUGAUCCAGCAACGCCGCGUGAGGGAUGACGGCCUUCGGGUUGUAAACCUCUUUCAGCACCGACGAAGCGAUCCUUUGGGGAGUGACGGUAGGUGCAGAAGAAGGACCGGCCAACUACGUGCCAGCCGCCGCAGUAAAAC
rnacentral:rRNA from 1 species